rnacentral:rRNA from 1 species
UGAUGCAGCGACGCCGCGUGAGGGAUGACGGCCUUCGGGUUGUAAACCUCUUUCAGCAGGGACGAAGCGCAAGUGACGGUACCUGCAGAAGAAGCGCCGGCCAACUACGUGCCAGCAGCCGCGGUAAGACGUAGGGCGCGAGCGUUGUCCGGAUUUAUUGGGCGUAAAGAGCUCGUAGGCGGCUUGUCGCGUCGACUGUGAAAACCCGUGGCUCAACUGCGGGCCUGCAGUCGAUACGGGCAGGCUAGAGUUCGGUAGGGGAGACUGGAAUUCCUGGUGUAGCGGUGAAAUGCGCAGAUAUCAGGAGGAACACCGGUGGCGAAGGCGGGUCUCUGGGCCGAUACUGACGCUGAGGAGCGAAAGCGUGGGGAGCGAACAGGAUUAGAUACCCUGGUAGUCCACGCUGUAAACGUUGGGCGCUAGGUGUGGGGGGCCUCUCCGGUUCUCUGUGCCGCAACUAAAGCAUUAAGCCCCCCGCCUGGGGAGUACGGGCGCAAGGCUAAAACUCAAAGGAAUUGACGGGGG